CCCUUAGAUGUCCGGGGCCGCACGCGCGCUACAAUGGAUGAAUCAACGCGUCAUCCUGGCCCGAAAGGGUUGGGGAACCGCUGAACCUCAUCCGUGGUUGGGAUUGGGGUUUGUAAUUAUUCCCCAUGAACUAGGAAUUCCCAGUAAGCGCGAGUCAUAAGCUCGCGUUGAUUACGUCCCUGCCCUUUGUACACACCGCCCGUCGCUACUACCGAUUGGAUGGUUUAGUGAGAUCCUCGGAUUGGUCACGGCACGGUGGCAACACUGCGUCGGUGUGCCGAGAAGACGGUCAAACUUGAUCAUCUAGAGGAAGUAAAAGUCGUAACA
rnacentral:rRNA from 1 species